rnacentral:ncRNA from 1 species
AUUGCUAAUGCAUCUACAUAACCUUCAAGAGCUAUCGGAAGUAGCAAGGAAUCUUGAUACCCUAAUCUCCAUCUCGAAGAUCAGUUGGCCCAGAGCCGAAGUGACCAUUCCAGAAACUAGCUAGUUGGUGAGAAAAUAGCUUACCAAGACGAUGAACAGUAGUUGGUACGAGAGGAUGAUCAGACACACUAGGACUAAGACACGUCCCAAAUUCCUACAGGAGCCAUAAGUGGGGAAUUUUACGCGAUGGUGGGAAGCCUAGCAGAGUAAUGUCAUGUGGAGGUGGAAUGCAUAUGAGUCGUCAACUUCUUUUUAACAUCAUUACGAGCAACAUUGAUAUCAUUGUGAGACUCCGUCAUCUCACAAAGACAGUGAUGGAAAUAUGCCCUAGAGGCAAU